CCUACGGGUGGCAGCAGUGAGGAAUAUUGGUCAAUGGGCGAGAGCCUGAACCAGCCAAGUCGCGUGAAGGAUGACGGAUCUAUGGUUUGUAAACUUCUUUUAUAUGGGAAUAAAGUGAGGAACGUGUUCCUUUUUGUAUGUACCAUAUGAAAAAGCAUCGGCUAACUCCGUGCCAGCAGCCGCGGUAAUACGGAGGAUGCGAGCGUUCUCCGGAUUUAUUGGGUUUAAAGGGUGCGUGGUGGGGCUGUUAAGUCAGCGGUAAAAGCCCGGGGCGAAACCCCGGCGAGCCGUUGAAACUGGCUGGCUAGAGAGGUCGAGCGGUAGGCGGAAUGCGCAGUGUAGCGGGGAAAUGCUUAGAGAUUGCGCAGAACACCGAUUGCGAAGGCAGCAUACCGGCGGCGAUCUGACGCUGAGGCACGAAAGCGUGGGUAUCGAACAGGAUUAGAUACCCCUGUAGUC
rnacentral:rRNA from 1 species